UACAGAGGGUGCAAGCGUUAAUCGGAAUUACUGGGCGUAAAGCGUGCGUAGUCGGUUAUCUAAGUCGGGUGUGAAAUCCCCGGGCUCAACCUGGGAAUUGCAUUCGAUACUGGAUAGCUAGAGUUCGGCAGAGGGAAGCGGAAUUUCGGGUGUAGCGGUGAAAUGCGUAGAUAUCCGGAGGAAUACCGGUGGCGAAGGCGGGUCUCUGGGAAGGUACUGACGCUGAGACGCGAAAGCGUGGGGAGCAAACAGG
rnacentral:rRNA from 1 species